AUGAACUUUGAUUGGCUCAGAAAGGGAAUUUUUGGAGGCACGUCCGGGCGUCAUCAAACCUGUUUUCUCUUUACACUUGAACUUGAUAGUGGAUGAUAUCCACACCACGUGAAAGUCCCCAAACGUGAGAUUUCAAGUCACCAGGAACCGGAUUCACAUUUUUUUCAUUAGCUGUAGAGCUCAGAGGGUGCUGUCAAACAAGCAAGAGGGUGGAUUUCAACGUGCUAUUAAUCAAAUCUAUUUCUUUGUCGUAGAGAAAGUCCUGACCGCUUUGCUAAAUGUUAUUAGCACUAGAUUAGUUUACUUUGGAUUAUUAGCAACCUACUUUGGAUAUAGUUAUUAGUAAAUUAAUCUAAUAAUUAU